rnacentral:tmRNA from 3 species
GGGGGCGAAAUAGGAUCGACGUGCCUAAUAAAAAAAUUGCUUUUACUCGGUAUGAUCCCACCGAUGGCUUUUGCCAUAUGGGUCAAAACAAAGAAACGCAAACGAUAAUAAGCGUUAUGUAGGUGUUGCCGCUUUAGCUGCAGCUUAAUCCUACGCGGCUUGGGAUUUGCCGGGCAACAGAAAAAUCCCAU